ACACGUAUGAAAGUCAAGCUGAAAGACUUUACUCAAUGAUGUAAGUGGUGGUGCAUGGUCGUUCUUAGUUCGUGGAUUGAUUUGUCUGGUCUAUUCCGAUAACGAGCGAGACCCCAACGUUCCUAAUAGGGGUGGCAGCCCGCUGGCCGAAAGGUUAGUAGCCGCCGCCUGAGAUUUGCUUCUUAGACGUAUCAGAAUCGAUAAGGUUCUUGAAAUGGGUCAAUAACAGGUCAGUCAUGCCCUUAGAUGUUCUGGGCCGCACGCGCGUUACAAUGGCAUGUAUAGAACGUGCUUCUCAAAGGCGUUUCCGGGGCCGAAAGGCUCUGGUAACCCUUAGUCCCUGCUUUGACUGGGACAGAUCUUUGCAAUUAUUGGUCUCUAACGAGGAAUUUUUAGUAAUCGUAGGUCAUUAACCUGCGAUGA
rnacentral:rRNA from 1 species